rnacentral:lncRNA from 1 species
AACUCCAAAUCUUUAUGUAUUCAUUAAAUGUCUAUUUUUUAGUUUUACCUUUUUACCAUGUAUUUUAUUAAGAGGCUCCAUACUGUGGCAUUUUGUUUAUUUUAUUCUGAGCACCAAUUAAAAGUCUGUCACGUGCCAGUGUGGUGGCACAUGCCCGAAAUCUCAACUUUCAGGAGGCAGCGGCAGGGGGAAAUCUCUGGAUUGAGGCCAGCCCACUCUACAUGGUGAAUUCCAGUCCAGCCAGGGCUACAUAAUGAGAUCUUGUCUCAGCCAACCAACCAACCAACCAAAACCAACCGCCUCCAUCAGGAUAGUGGAUUAUACUUACAUUCCAACUCUAGGCUAUCCAGUAAGAGCCUGUUCCUAACCAACAUGAGCCAAAUCAAGCCAAGUAUCUUGGCUAGGGUUUCUGUUGCUGUAAUAAAAUGCCGCGAGCAAGCUUGAGGAAGAAAGGGUUUACUUAUCUUGCAGCUCUCAGACCACAUUCCGUCACUCAGGGAAGUCAGGUUAGACACUCAAGGUAGGAAUACGGAAGCAGGAACUAAACAGGAACCAUAUUGGAACGCUGCUCACUGACUUGCUCCUCCAGCCUUACUCAUUUUGCUUUCUUAUAUACCCAGGAUCGCUUUCCCUGGGCGGGUGGCACCAUCCUCAGUGAGCUGGAACUCAUCUCGCCUCAAUCAUUAAUCAAGAAAACGCCUGGCAGAUUUGUCUACAAGGAAUCUUACAGAGAUAUUUUCUCAACUGAACUUCCACUUCUAGAUAAUUCUAGUUUGUGUCAGGUUGACGUAAAAAAAAAAAAAAAAAAUCUAACCCGGACAUCAAUCCAACCCCCAACACACCGUCUGGUAAAUACUUUUCAAUUUCUCUUACAUCAUUUCUAUGUUCUUUCAGUGUGAACAGUCCUGUUUGAACAUUCUGGUUCAGUGUCCCUUCACUGAAGGCCAGCCCUGACCCAGUGCUGCUGUGUUUGGGGGUGGGGACCAGCUCUUGGAGGUGAUGAGGGUUAGAUGUGACAUGGUAAGAGUUCUUCCCUCCGCGAUGUGGGGGACACAGGGAGCAGGUAACGGCUCACCGGACAACCCGGGGUAGAGCAGUCAGACCUCGGGCUUCCAGCCUUCAGAACUGCGACAGCGAGCGAACGACCACUACCUCACCCGAGCCGAGGACACCGUGUGGCUUGAUUCAGACGCGGGCUUGCUAUUUAAAUUCCCCAUGGAAAGCUGGGUUGAAAAGAAAAACUUAAUUCGCAUUCACUUACUGUGAGUUCUGAUGUAGCCGAGCCUAUUUUUACCUCGGAUUUUGUGCUCUCUCCAUUGUCCUCCCGUCGUCUACCUCCCUCUCUACGGCUAUUGGUUGGCGGCCUUUCCCAGCGCACUUUCAGUGUUAGUUUGAGAGAUGCAGUUUUAUUUUGAAAAAAAAAAAAAAUCCUUUGUAUAAGGUCGCCAUUGAACUUUUUGAGGACGACAAAUUAUGUUUUUUUUAAAAAGAAGUUUUUUUAAUAGCAUGUAUUAACUCUAUGUGCAACAAUGGGUUUUGUUACAUUUUUGUAUUUGAAUAUAUCUGUCUCCAUU